rnacentral:rRNA from 1 species
AGCAGCCGCGGUAAUACGUAGGGUGCGAGCGUUAAUCGGAAUUACUGGGCGUAAAGCGUGCGCAGGCGGUUUUGUAAGACAGGCGUGAAAUCCCCGGGCUCAACCUGGGAAUGGCGCUUGUGACUGCAAAGCUAGAGUGCGGCAGAGGGGGAUGGAAUUCCGCGUGUAGCAGUGAAAUGCGCAGAUAUGCGGAGGAACACCGAUGGCGAAAGCAAUCCCCUGGGCCUGCACUGACGCUCAUGCACGAAAGCGUGGGGAGCAAACAGGAUUAGAUACCCGUGUAGUCCCUGUCUCUUAUACA